rfam:Homo sapiens chromosome 4, GRCh38 reference primary assembly.
GCCAGGCGUGGUGGCGCAUGCCUGUAAUCCCAGCUACUUGGGAGGCUGAGGCAGGAGAAUCGCUUGAACCCAGGAGGCUGAAGUUGCGGUGAGCCGAGACUGCACCAUUGCACUCCAGCCUGGGUAGCAGAGCAAGACCCUGUCUCAA